rnacentral:rRNA from 1 species
GACGAACGCUGGCGGCGUGCUUAACACAUGCAAGUCGAACGGUGAAGCGCCUUCCUUUUUGGUGGGUGUGGAUGAGUGGCGAACGGGUGAGUAACACGUGAGUAACCUGCUCCCUUCUUCUGGAUAACCGCAUGAAAGUGUGGCUAAUACGGGAUAUUCUGGGUCUGUCGCAUGAUGGGUCUGGGAAAGAUAUUGUUUCGGUGGGGGAUGGGCUCGCGGCCUAUCAGCUUGUUGGUGGGGUGAUGGCCUACCAAGGCGGUGACGGGUAGCCGGCCUGAGAGGAUGGACGGUCACACUGGGACUGAGACACGGCGCAGACUGCGACGGGAGGCAGCAGGGGGGAAUAGUGCACAAUGGGAGCAAGCCUGAUGCAGCGACGCCGCGUGAGAGAUGGAGGCCUGCGUGUUGUGAACCUCUGUCGCCAGUGAAGCAGGCCUGCCUCGUUUGUGGGUGGGUUGACGGUAGCUGGAGAAGAAGCGCCGGCUAACUACGUG